rnacentral:lncRNA from 1 species
UUUACUAUAGCCAAAUGAAGAACUGCACACUUUGAUAUCUCAGGUGGCGAUGCCCAAUCCGCAACUACACUUGGACAAUGACAUGGUGUUUAUCUCACGUUCUAUCGCGAAAGUCUCAUCAACUAAAGUUAUAGAAAGACUCCUAUAACACUCCUUUCAUUUUGGAUAGCUCCUAGGAGUAAUGUGAAAAGGCCCAGAAAAAUGUCAAAUCAACGAGCUUCGUGCCCAAGCUGGGCGGUUUCCCCGUCGCCUGGCAAUGGGUACUGGCCACUUGCCAGACACUUUGGUGUUUGAGCACUC